AUACCUUUCUCGGCCUUUUGGCUAAGAUCAAGUGUAGUAUCUGUUCUUAUCAGUUUAAUAUCUGAUACGUGGGCCAAUGGCCCACAGCGAUAUUAAAUUUAUUUUUUAAGGGAAAAGACCCAUCACAAUAGCUUGCUAUUGGGGUCUUUACACGUCGCCCAUGUGUUGCACUGCUGCACGGGCCUGGCGUACCCCAC
rfam:Spinacia oleracea cultivar SynViroflay scaffold60848.con0002.1, whole genome shotgun sequence.